rnacentral:rRNA from 1 species
GAGUUUGAUCAUGGCUCAGGAUGAACGCUGGCGGCGUGCCUAAUACAUGCAAGUCGAACGGUCGACUUCGGUCGAUAGUGGCGAACGGGUGAGUAACGCGUUGGUGACCUGCCCCCCAGAGCGGGAUACCAGGCCGAAAGGCCUGCUAAUACCGCAUGCGGUCGCGAUCCGCUAAGAGAUGGCGAAGAAAGCCGGAUGCUUCGCAAGAAGCGCUGGCGCUGAGGGAGGGGCCUGCGUCCCAUCAGCUAGUUGGUAAGGUAACGGCUUACCAAGGCGAUGACGGGUAGGGGACCUGAGAGGGUGGCCCCCCACAAUGGAACUGAAACACGGUCCAUACACCUACGGGUGGCAGCAGUAGGGAAUAUUGCACAAUGGGCGAAAGCCUGAUGCAGCAACGCCGCGUGUGUGAUGAAGGCCUUCGGGUCGUAAAGCACUUUUCUGGGAGAUGAGAAAGGACAGUAUCCCAGGAAUAAGUCUCGGCUAACUACGUGCCAGCCGCCGCGGAAUUC